AAGUCGUAACAAGGUUUUUCGUAGGUGAACCUGCGGAAGGAUCAUUAGUGAACACUGGACUCUGACUCUGCAAAGAGGAAGUUUCCUUUCCACUACCACAUACACUUGUGCAUCUGUUCUUUUUUACAAUUCACUUUGUAAAGGAUUUUUAACACUUGUGCUAAUUAUUAAUGUCGUUGAUGUAAAACAAUUUGAUAAAUGAAAGAAAAA
rnacentral:misc_RNA from 1 species